GAUAAAACAUUAAAACAGACACCCAUCUGGUAAAGGACCAGGUUAAAACAUUAAAACAGACACCCAUCUGGUAAAGGACUAGGUUAAAACAUUAAAACAGACACCCAUCUGGUAAAGGACUAGGUUAUAACAUUAAAACAGACACCCAUCUGGUAAAGGACUAGGAUAAAACAUUAAAACAGACACCCAUCUGGUAAAGGACUAGGAUAAAACAUUAAAACAGACACCCAACUGGUAAAGGACCAGGAUAAAACAUUAAAACAGACACCCAAC